UUUUUCAAAUCCGGUAACCCACAAAGUCCACCUCUGAACCAGCAGCCGUAAUCAAUUAGGAUUACUCCCACUUUUUUUCUUCAGCCGUCUUCCAUUCUUAUUUUGUUAAGCCGACUGACGAUUCAGUUCGCCUUACGAUCUCACAACGUUUUUUGUUUCUUUAUGUAUAUUAACCAUCUUCUUAACUCCUUUCUACACGAUCUCUGCAUCAAUACGCCGUUAUCUUCUCGAAGGCGGUGUGGCUACGAGUAUAAAAAGGAGGUGCUCCUCCACUGUUGAUGACAACACUUGACGAGAUAACCGACCGGAAUCUCCGCUGCCUGAAGAAGGGUUCCUGUUUCGUAAUCAAACCGAGCUCCUUGGAUUAGCUAACACGAACACGCAAGAAAAUCUACUAAUUUGUUUAGCAUGGUAUAAACAUAUUACAAUUUCUAAUUAUUCUUCUUACAGACGUUGUAGGUGAGAUAACUGCGUUGAAGAGUACUGUGAAUGAUCCUCCGGAGGAGCACUAUCAAACUGGAUAGAUAAAUCCUAUCUCAUCAUUUUGCAUUAUCUUACAUUAUAACGUAUGAGCAGAAGUUUUAUUAUAUCACUAACUGCACCGCAUUUGCAGUGAUGUGAUUGUGACAUUGAGUAUAUUCGACGCACAAGCAGUUGCUUUCCAUAAACUUGAAGGCAUGUGUGUUGAUUCAAAAGCGAUCGUUGCAACAAACAUUAACCCGAAGAUGGUUGGAGGCCGUCUGUUCCUUAAUGCCACUUCGGGAACCCACAUCUAUUUUGACAAGGAGACCACUGCAGGGGAGAUCAUGUUGAAGGAAUUAGGCUAAUGGACAUCCAUAACUGGAAAAACAAUGUCACCAGGGGAGACAAGUAUGGCAUUCCUUGCUUGAGGUCCCCAUCAUAAAGAAGGAGUAUGGAACCAAUCUGAUGCUUAUACUGCCACCAAGAUCAUGCAAACUCAAGGAGCUUAAUAAUAGGUGCACCGUUGGUUUUUAUUAUAAACAAAUCGAGAAGUUCAUGCAGUUAAUAUCCAGUGGCUGAUAGACCAUAUAUUUUACCCAUUUUUAAUCAUGGUAUAUAAGUGUUUUAAAGUGUUUUAAGAUACAAUUAUUAUGUUUUGGAGUCUAUUUAGAGUAUUCACAGGUUCAGGGACGUUUAGGAGAAAUAUGGUGAUUUUGGAGUCUUUUGGAGCCUUUGGAGGUGCUGAGUUGCACAGACGCGUCAGAUGUUUUGCUAUGGAUGGAGACGUUCCGACCGUUAGAUUCAGCCCCUAAUUUGACACAAGAUAGAUCUAUGAGUUAGCUUUCCAAUGCCACCGGUCUCACGUCAAUCAGCAUCCUGUAGCAGAAGUUAUGCCCGUUUUACUGAAGAGUGGUCAGUCUGCCUCGCGAGAGGAAGCUGCCGAGAAGAGGAAGCCACGUCGAUCGAUGCAGCAUUCUGCACGUCGAUCGAGAAAGAUCCCAGAUUGUGGGCCUUGUAUAUUUUAUGACUGCAUGGAGCUCAGAAGCUACAAAUUACCAAAAUACCCUUAGACGACCAGAAACCCUAUAUUACUGUUUUCUAAGCCAUUGUUGACGGCAUACUUCUUUACGCUUUAUGUUUCAUUGUUUCUAUUAGAGGAGAAAAGGGUGGAACUCCUAUCAGAGUCCUCCUGGAACUCCUUUGGUUUUA